GUGGGGAAUUUUGGACAAUGGGCGCAAGCCUGAUCCAGCAAUGUCGCGUGCAGGAAGAAGGCCUUCGGGUUGUAAACUGCUUUUGUACGGAACGAAACGGUCCGGGUUAAUACCCUGGGCUAAUGACGGUACCGUAAGAAUAAGCACCGGCUAACUACGUGCCAGCAGCCGCGGUAAUACGUAGGGUGCAAGCGUUAAUCGGAAUUACUGGGCGUAAAGCGUGCGCAGGCGGUUUUGUAAGACAGGCGUGAAAUCCCCGGGCUCAACCUGGGAAUUGCGCUUGUGACUGCAAGGCUGGAGUGCGGCAGAGGGGGAUGGAAUUCCGCGUGUAGCAGUGAAAUGCGUAGAUAUGCGGAGGAACACCGAUGGCGAAGGCAAUCCCCUGGGCCUGCACUGACGCUCAUGCACGAAAGCGUGGGGAGCAAACAGGAUUAGAUACCCCAGUAGUCC
rnacentral:rRNA from 1 species